rnacentral:SRP_RNA from 13 species
GCUGGGCAUGGUGGCACAUGCCUGUAAUCCCAGCUACUCAGGAGGCUGAGGCAGGAGAAUUGCUUGAACCUGGGAGGCGGAGGUUGCAGUGAGCCGAGAUCGUGCCACUGCACUCCAGCCUGGUGACAGAGCGGGACUCUGUUUCAAAAAAAAAAAAAAAAAACUUUUUAAAGACAGAGCUUUGCUUUAUUGCCCAUUCUGGAGUGCAGUGGCGCAAUCUCAGCUCACUGCAGCCUCCACCUCUCAAGUUCAAGCAAUGCUCCUGCCUCAG